rnacentral:lncRNA from 1 species
GGUAGGCUUCUUUGAUGAAAUGUUACUUUGUAUAUGUAUAUUUUGAGUUGAUCAAAUAUCUGUAGCUAUCUUGAGUCUAGGAAUCUUUUGUGUUGAAAUGUAUAAAUUUAAACAUGUAUAUUUUGAAACUUCUGACUUAAUGACGUAUAUGCUGCAAACAGGAUUUAUUUUGAUUUGGAAAUAUUAUAUUUAUUGUUUGUUAAAUUCGGUCAUUAGGCUUGCCGGACUAGUAUUAGUUCGUGCGCCGGUCACGAUUGGAAUUGGGUCGUGACA